CGGGUAACUCACUGUCCAAACUUAUGACAUGUCGAGGAAUUGGGUAAUUUGGAGCAGCUGUGGCUGGACGUGGGUAUGCAGGACAUCUCCUCGCUGUGGGUGCCCGAGCUUAAACAACAGCGCCAACAACUCCAUGGGGAAGACCUAGACAUCUACACUUAUGCACUCGACCUCGAGGUUGAGAGACGCAUGGUUAGGUGGCAGUAGAGACACAAGGUAUUUCAUUUUGGGUCUGCUCCAAUCUCCAUCUUGUCUGAAUUUUACACUCCAGAAUUCGUGCAUACAUAUCCAUUUAAUUAACACUCCUUUGUUUUUCUGUAUUAUGUAGUUUUGAGUCACAUCUUUAUUUCUAGAUGGAAUAGUACUGAUCAUGAACCAUCACACAAUCACGUGAGCUGAUGUUGGAACACAACGAGAAGGAAUGACCAAUUGCAUGCUUGCCGUGACGCCCGGUCCAAUUUGGUUGAGGCUCAAUAGCGGUCCAAAGUGCAGGUGCGCAUAUUUAGUACCAUCUUGCUAGUUGAGAAAGGCUGGAGUCAACUUAUAAACCUUUGGACUCUAGCCACAGCAUUUUCAGGUUAAUCCUUUUUAUAUGAAGCAAAAGUAAGAAUGAAGGUGUGAACAGGAUGCUAUGUGUAUGUGUGCCCACCUCUCGAAAAGGGCUGUGCGAUGCGGCGUGGUGGCCCAUGCCGCCGUGGGCACGUUACUGCUGAUGCACUCGAUCGUCGCCGAGGCAGAGCAGAGGUAGAUAGGCGACACUGCAGUAGGGCUCCGAUCCAGGCGGCUAACCUCGACAGCGGCAUCCUCCGAUCCUCGCCUCGCCAUGGACGCUGCCGGGUCGUCGCGGUCCCCCUCGCGGCCGCUGCGCAUCGUGAUCUGCCCGUGGCUUGCGUUCGGCCACAUGCUCCCGUACCUGGAGCUCGCCGAGCGCCUGGCCUCGCGCGGCCACCACGUCUCCUUCGUCUCCACGCCGCGCAACCUCGCGCGCCUCCCGCCGCGGCGGCACGUCAUCGACCUCGUCGCGCUCUCGCUACCGCGCGUCGAGGGCCUCCCCGACGGCGCCGAGUCCACCAACGACGUCCCCAGCGACCGGCGCGAGCUGCUCUGGGAGGCCUUCGACGCCCUCGCCGCGCCGUUCGCGGAGUUCCUCGCCGCCGCGUGCGCCAUCGACGCUGACAACGGCAACAGCAAGCGGCCCGACUGGGUCCUCGCCGACACGUUCCACCACUGGGCCCCCGCCGCCGCCCGCGAGCACGGGGUGCCGUGCGCGAUGCUCUUGCCGUCCGCCGCCGUGAUCGCCGCCUUCGCCUGCGGGGCGCAGGGGCACGCGGAGCUCGCCGCCGACACCACCGUGGGCGGAGGGCGGCCGCCCGGCAUGCCGCGCUACGAGUGGGAAGGGGACGCGCCGCUCUUCGCCGUCCUUGCCGCGUCGGGCCUGAGCAUCGCCCGGCGCACCUCCCUGACGCUCGAGCGGUGCACGAUCGCGGCCAUCCGGAGCUGCCCGGAGUGGGAGCUCGACGCGUUCCCGCUGGCGGCGGCGCUCCUCGGCAAACCGCUCGUCCCGCUCGGCCUCCUGCCGCCGUCGCCCGACGGUGGCCGCGCCACCGACGCACACAGGGACGACGCCGCCGUGCGGUGGCUGGACGUGCAGCCGGACAAGUCCGUCGUGUACGUCGCGCUGGGGAGCGAGGUGCCGCUGCGCGUGGAGCUCGUGCACGAGCUGGCGCACGGGCUGGAGCUCGCCGGGACGCGCUUCCUCUGGGCUCUGAGGAAACCCAGAGGCGUCUCCGACGCCGACGUCCUCCCUGCCGGCUUCCUAGAGCGCACACACGGCCAUGGGCUGGUGACCAUGGGGUGGGUCCCUCAGAUCGCCAUACUGGCGCACGGCGCCGUGGGCGCGUUCUUGACGCACUGUGGCCGGAACUCGCUCAUCGAAGGGCUUCUGUACGGGCACCCUCUGAUCAUGCUACCGAUCUUCGGCGACCAAGGGCCGAAUGCGCGGCUCAUGGAGCGGAGGAAGGUAGGGUUGCAGGUGGAGAGGAACGAUGAUGAUGGAUCUUUUGACCGCCAUGGCAUCGCGAGCGCGGUCCGGGCUGUCAUGGUAGAGGAAGAUACCAAGAAGGUCUUUGUGGCAAAUGCGAUGAAGAUGCAAGAGAUUGUAGCCGAUAAGGAGCUCCACGAGAGGUACGUCGAUGAGUUUGUGCAGGAACUUAGAUCCUACAUCACUGAUGGCAACUCCUCUACUCCGGCUGAUGAGAUGUAGCAUUAGUUUUGCAGGAUUUUAUGUGUCUGUUUAAUUCGAUGCAGUUUUUAAACAUUGCUAGUGAUUGUUGCCGAUACACUGCAUCCGGUGCACAGUGCCAGUGGCGCUGUACCCACAAUGGCAAUGGCAACGAGGAUCAUAAGGCAUCUCUGUUCCUUGUUCCUCUUGCGCUUUUUUCUGAAUGAUAAUGAUGCGUGCCCUCUGGUCUCCUCGCGAGCUGCCUGCACUGCAGAACGCCAGAAUCAUUAACCCACAUGCUGCCACGAGGAUUUACUGGUGCAUUGGUCAUUUGGUUGGAGUAGUGGUAGGACCAAUCCUCUCUAGCUCCAUUCAUGCAGGCUCAUUAGUGAAUGGUUACUGUAGCACCACAUUGUCAAAUCAUGGACUAAUUAGGUUUAAUAGAUUCAUCUCGCGAUUUAGCCUAGGGGUUGUGUAAUUAGUUUUGUAAUUAGUCUAGGUUUAAUACUCCUAAUUAGUGUCCAAGCAUUCGAUGUGACGGGGGCUAAAGUUUAGCCCCCUCCUCCCAAACACCCCCUCAUUUCCUUUGGCAGUAAAACUGUAAAACAUUGUAUGCACGUCUGACCAACGUAUAUUCGACAAUCAUCCGCGGAUACCCCCUCUUCUUGUUCUUAUUUUUUGCCCCGGGCCCGGGGAUAUGUGACCAGGAAUUCAAGACCUCUUGUGUGUUUGGGGUAUGGCUAGGGAUCAUUUGCGAAAGCUACGCUGUAACUUUUUUCACCUAAGAACAGGAAAAGGUAGGUGGGACCCUGCCACUGCCAUGCAGUGCAUCAUAUACCGUGCUCUUGCGUGCAUGGAGAACAGCAACCGUCCCUGCGGGGUCUGCGCUGCACAGCGACGGACGGACGCUAGCUACAGCGCCGGCAGGCACCGCCGCCGCCGGCCUCGCCGGUCGGCUUCUGGAUCAAUCUGCAAAAGCAGUUAAGCACUGACGCAGGCAGCCGGAGGCGUGCAGCCCAGGCCCCCCCUCCGGCGGUUUGGCUGAUGCUCUCCGGCGAGCUCGAGGACAAGGGCGCGACCGCACGAGCAGGGCCGGCGGCUCUCUGUACUUUCAAGGGCCUUAGGGCAAAUUCACGGACGUGGGCCCUUAAUAAGGCUAAAUACUAUAAGAACGGUAUCAAGCAACGGAGGCCUUGAAACGUUGAUGGGCUGCUUUAAUGCCUGUUCAGUCAGUUACUCAGUUUGCUGGGCUUGGGCUGAGAACUGAGACGAAGAGACCUAAAACAUAGUACACGUAUAUACACAGAGGGUCAAGAGGUCUGGGCCUCUAUCUGGGCUGGGCCUAGGCUGUCGCACUUUUGGCCCUACCCACGAGAUGGGUGGAGAGAUGGCGAGCUCGUGAGUACGUGCAAGACACAGCUUAUACCGGUGGACACAAACACACGCUAUAGUGAAAUUUGUUCAGAAUUCACGAUACAAGGAUAAGGAUCUUGCCGGAGUCUUGAGCCUGAGCUCGCCUCCGCCGUCACAAACAACUAGAUCCUUCAGUUCCUCCCCUUGUGCACGCUUCCCUCUUAACCAUUACACGAUGUGCCAAUAAGGCCACAACGACUUCCGUUCAUGGGCCUGCACUACUUUAGCCACUGCGGCCCAGCCAGCCAAGUGCUUGUUGGGCUUCGGAGUUCGUCGAGGACGCCCGGCUCCUUGAAGUGUUUCAGCAACCUUGAUCCUGCUUCCUUCUCCUUCCUCCUUCGGAGGAGUCGGUGUCACGUUCUUGUUCGUGACAGUACGCCGGCCACGGCCGGUAGCCCAGUUCACGCAAGCAGACAUUCAGUGCAGGCGUCCCCCAGUUUGCAGCCUCUCUUUCGUCGGGCCAUCCACUGGCGAGCUUCUCGAUCGAGAGAGGAAAGCAGGUACUUGUUAACAACAGAGUAAUGCUCCUUCGUUUUACUUUAAACUUACUAAGGUCCCUUUGCCAUGGUUACUCUGCCUUUUUUUUCACUACACAUACUACUAUAGCAACUUCAUCUUUGAUAAUCAAAUGCCUGCAAUAUAUAAAUGCAGAGACAUAUUUACGAAAGAAUUUGCCAUGGUUAUCCAUGGGGCAAAGAAGAGAUAACAUCCUAGUGUAGGUCUUUGGUUCUCGUUGUUGUAAUUUUUUUCUUUCCCCUUUUUCUUUGUAAUCUUACAUUUGUUUCGCCCCUCCUAUUCCAUAAAAAAAAGUAUUACCAUAGCAACAGUAUAGCCACACUAUAUCAAAUACAUAGUGAGCCUAAAAAUAUUGUCUUCACAGGCUCACAAUUCAUUUUGAACCGGCUGCAAAAGUUAGUUUUUUUUUUGCUUCGCAGAAGGUACAACAGAGAAGCUGAAGCUUUCGGGGCGAUCGUAUAUAUUUUUAAAAAGAGGGAGGUAGAUAUUUUCUGAUAGGAAAAAUGCUAUUGAACAUUUCUUUUUCUUUCUAUUCACCCUUCUCUUUGAUGUGGUGAGAUAAUCCGUCCCGUCUAAUGCAUUUCUCCUUCUGUUCGUCAGCCUCCAUGGCCCAUGAGAAACAUUGGCGCGAUUCCUUCCGUGCUGAUGCGAAAUUGAUGCUGCACACACUUGCUCUUCAAUUUUUUUCAUAGCCGUGAUACUACUACGUUAACUCAACUGCUAAAUUCAUUAGCAGUCUGGUGACUGGUGUCACUGAUUUCGCUACAGACGUUCAACCACCAUAUGCUGAUUACAAACGGAAGUAGCAACGCUGCCAGUCCAGUUCGAUGAUGCAGCAACUCCAUCUCCACCAACCGUAACGAGAUCUUGAUAGCUAGUAUUUCUUUUAUAAGGCAUGCAUCCUGAUAGCUGCAGGCGUGUUCAAUCACCAUAUGCUUUUGCUCUUGCGUGCUUGCUGAUAUCGAUUUGGCCUAGUCUUUCUUGAUCUUCUUCAGUGCCACUGCACCCACCGGCCACCACAUCCCCCAUUGACGCACCGUCGCCGCUGCAUCAAUCAUGGAAUUCGCAUGAGACACCAGGAACUGAACCCGCAAGGUUGGUCUUGGUUAACUAGCGUCAAGGAGGCGAACGUGUGGUCGCCGUGAAGAAGCUCUGGCACCCGGCUCCGACGGACGGCGGCGCGGUGGGGAACUAGCUGACAGCCCAAGUGCAGAAGGAGGUGGGGCUCCUGGGCGGCUCCGGCACCGGAACGUCGUGCGGCUGCUUGGGUUACCUCCACAACGACGCCGACGCGAUGAUGCUGUACGAGUUCAUGCCCAACGGCAGCAUGUGGGAGGCGCUGCACGGCCCGCGGACUGGGGUGUCGCGCUACGACGUGGUCGCCGCCGGCGUGGCGCAGGGGCUUGCCUACCUCCACGACGACUGCCACCCGCCGGUGAUCCACCGCGCGCGACAUCAAGUCCAACAACAUCCUCCUCGACGCCUCGAUCCCCUGCCGGCAGGCAGGCAGGCAGCCAUGGCGGCUCGAUGUCGUUGUUGGUCCGUCAUGGAGGAGGUAAAAGAUGGCAGGUCAGCAAGUAGGUAGUAAGCAGAAAAGAUUUCCCAAGGAAGAUGCUAUGUUCUUCAGUACGAAGCAAACAGGAUCAGGUUUUCCUUUUUGGCCUUUCCUUGCUAAGAUCCCUUGAAAUGGUUGAUGAAUCCACUGCUUUAAAGCAGUGUUCUCCAACGAACAUAGGAUCUGUGGGUCGUUUUCCAGUAAAAACUUCAAGGAGUACGAUUCCGUAGCGGAACACAUCGCUCUUGUGUGAUGCUCUGCUCAAGAAAUCCGCAGGGCAGCGUUAAUAUGAUUGAUCAAACAUAGUGAAACAAUGAUAAACAGCAGUGCACUUUUUAAUAAGAAUUUGGGUUACCAAGAGCACGAAGUGGUAGCACCUGGUGCCAUGUACCCAGCAGGUGUUCCAGACAAGCUUACAGUGGUCAUGGAGCUAUCAUCACCCUAGCAACUUCGCGAUGCCGAAGCCUGCCACGUGCCUGUCAUGUCUUCAUGGAAUAGCACAUUGCCUCACAGGUACUCCAUUAACCUCUUGAAGAACUCAACGUGCCUUCUGCCUUCAGAGUGCAGGAGCAUCUCCAAGCUGCACAUCCAGCCACACUACACGAUCCGUCUCCCUUAUCAACAUUUUUCUCUGAAUCUAAAUAAUUUUUUUCUUGUCUUAAACAAUAAACAAGAAAAAUUAUUCAAUAAAAUAAACUAUAUUAAAAAUAUCAUCCAAACGUACUCAAAAGUGGUCCUAUUUUCGAAGAUUCUAUUAGAAAACAUAAUGAUAAAAAAAUUCUAAAUUUAACGUAAACACUGGAUUUUAAAACUCGUACAGCGAAUUUUCACGUUUUUUAUUAUUCAUUCGGCCCAGGAAGGCCCAUGACCAAAAACAGUGGCCUGAAGACCCACCCAUUCGACUCCGCAGGGUCCCCCAUCUGCUUCCUCCUCCCUCUUCCAUGGCCGCCGCCUCGCCGUCGCUGGGCAUCUGUGGCCGGAGAGGCAGCGGUCGGCCAGAUGAAACGACUGGGGCUUUCGAGGCGCGCAAAAUGGUUCGCUCCUCCCGUUCCCUCUCGUCUCAUCUGGGCGAGGAACCCCGCGCUGCUAUUCAACGGAAGGUACCAUUCACUACUUCGUUGCAGUAGCAAUGUAGCAUCCAUUUCCUUUGUUCUGGUAGUGGUGAAUGGGCAGCGCGCGAUAGUGCGAAUGCCAAAGAGCCAAGGACUGCUUUGGUCCUAGCAGCUGCGUGCUGAUUUGGUACUGGAUUUUUCCGGUGCCAACGCUUAUACAAUUUUAAGGUUGUUUUCUGAACUUGGAAUUCGAUAGAGUUGGUAGCAUGUUUGUUUUAGGAGAGAUUCAUUUUCUUCUCCUUGCACUGGGAAACUUCAUAAAAUCUGCAACUUGCAUAAACAAUGACGGGAUUAAGGAGGGUGCAGCAGUCAGUCGUGUUCAUUCUUUGGAUUUGAACAAAUCUUUGUCUGCAUUCUUUGGAUUUCAAUAUUCUUAUGUCCAUGCCAUCCUUGCCUCAUUUUUUUAUGGUGUUGGUGGAAGGGGUGUGAGUUUGGGUUGGUUGCCUAAACCUUAUUAACAUGUUGGUCAAUGCAACUGAUUCUUCACAUCAGGUGUAUAUAUACAGCUAAGGAAGGUGCCUGCGAAAUCAAACUUCUUUUUGUUCAUGCUGACUGGCUUACUACUACCUCAUAUCUUUUAUAAGAAGCCACGGCAAGUAGCUGGUGGCUUGUCACUCUUGUGGACAUAUUUUGACCUCACCAUCAACGUGGAUAAUUUACAAUGGUGCAACUUGCUUAGAUGAUUAGAAGAGAGAAGGCACUUGCAUACAUGUCUUUGUAAUAAUACGGGUCCAAGAAGCCCCACAGCUUGCUGACUGAUGAAAUAAUGCAGUGGAGCAAUAUGAUUAUAGCUGUGUAUAGAGAUAUAUGGUUAUAGCUGUGUAUAUGUCUUACCAUGACAUGCCCUGCAAGUUUAGACCAUUUGAGUAGUUGGAAAGCUGUGAACUGCAAGCUUGUGAUGUGUGUUUGCAAAAUCCCACCUCGCUUCACGCUCAAAAAAGUUAAGAGAAUUACUUGCCACGCUCGUCUCAGUGUUGCACUUUGUUGCUGUUUUCAUGUGCUUAUCUGGAGUAAUUAGCUGAAUCAAAAUCAAGCACAUGGAAUCUUGAGAACAGGCCACAUGGACAACCAGUCUCAGGAGUACUAAUUAGUGAACCAAAAACGAUGCCAUUGGCUACUUGUUAGUUUACUCAACCACCAAGGGUUCGGGGGUCUUUAUAGACGGUGCUUUUAAUUUGUCUACCUCUAUAUACAGGCUAUUCCCCACGUUCACAUGAUGUAAUGGAAGAGAAGGCUUUUAGCAGCAAGUGAUCUCCACUUUACAUCUAGUCUAAUGCUGUUGCAUCCUUUAGCUUGGCUAUUGCUCAUGGUAUAUCCCCGGCUGUUUAAUAGCUCCAUGGCCUCCGAUUAAUCGAGAUCUAAUUUCCUCCCUAGCUUUCGGAAAAUAAAUGCCUGAUUUGCCUAUAGUGAUCAUGCAGAUAGUAGAAUCUUGAUGUUGGAAGCAGCACCUGUUUCUGAGGAGACCCUGUUGGGAGCAAAAAGAAACUGGUAUUCUGCAUACUGAUUUCUGAUGCAGAACUCUGAUUAGGGCCUUAUCAGUCCCUGUAUUCAGGUACUUUUUAUUUUAGCAGCUCUAACUUAGCUAUAAUCUUCAUGUUUACUACUAUUCCGGUUAUGGCCAUUAAUUCACUCAGUCUUUCAUUUCACUAUUAAGCAUUUCAUCUUUCUUCCUUUAUUGUCUCCAUUUAUAUGCUGGUAUCACAGCGUAAUCUGUUGGUUUUCCUUUCUCUUGGCCAAUGAUAUAUAGUCCUUUGUUAUCUAUACUAGGCAUCCGUCUCUCCAAGCAUUUAAUUUUAAUCUCCUUGGCCUCACUGUGUGGAGAUCUUAGAGUACUGAUGGGUUGAUCAUUUGAACAAUAUGCUUCUGUAUAUCAGUGACUUUUCCUUGUUAAGCCCUUUACAAGGUAAAGCCCUCUGUCAAUAGAUAAAUAAAUAUAUGUUGCAAUAGCUAAAAUUUAUGACUAGCUGUAAUAUACUCUGAGGAGGAUGCUAAGAUGGAGUUAAAAAAAUGAUAAGACACAUUAAGUUAAAGAAUUAUAAAUGAAUGUCAACUCAUAAAAGACAGCAUAAAACUACAGCAGUCACCAGGCUAAACUUCAAUACCUAGUACACUAGAAUUUGUCAAACACCAUCUUUUAUUUAGUUUUUAUUGGAAAAGCUACUUCUUUAAACCUAGGGCGUUCAGCUCCUCAGUCAAUUCAGCACUAUGCAUGCUUAAGGAGCUAAAUGCAGACUUUGAACUAAUUUUCAUAGUUGUAUAACUCGACAACUCUGAAUGUGCAUGGGUUUACAUGCCCGUACAAGCUACAAAACAUGUCAACUGGGCUUUGCUAGCUUCAGUACUUUUUAAUAACUUAUUCAAAAUUGAGAUUGCAGCUACUGUUUUUCAGAUAUCUUUCUUGCAAGGUUAUUUCAUAAAGCUUGUCCCAAUUCUUUUUUAAACAUCUUAUCUGUUAUGCAUUUAUUGCCAGAUCUGCAACUCUCCGUGUUCCAAUAAUCCAUGUGUGAUGGAUUCCACUCAUUAAGGUUAUCCAAUGGCGACCAUACUUGAUUCUUUGGUGGGAUCAUGUGCCAAGAAGCUGCAAGAUAUCAUUACAGAGGAGGUCAUUCUGAUUCUUGGUGUAAAAGAAGAUCUCAAGCAACUACAACGAGCAGUGAACCAAAUACAUUGCUUCCUUGAUGCAGAGCAAAGAAGUACAGAAGAAUCAGCAGUUAGCAGUUGGCUUAGUGAGCUAAAAGAUGCUAUGUAUGAAGCAGAUGAUAUUUUUGACUUGGCUAGAUUAGAAGGAAACAAGCUGCUAAUGGAUUAUGCUUCAUCAUCAAGGACCUCUGCUGCAUGUACACGUUUCUUGCUUUGCUCUUGCCUUCCCAAUAUUCAAAGGUGCCACGAGAUUGCCACUCGCAUCAGGAAAUUCAACACUGAACUUGAGAAGAUAUUAAGGCUAGGUGAAAGAUUUUUAAGACUUCAGAAUAUGCUGCCAAAAGUGGAAGUUUCAGCUGUGAGGAGGAAGAAAACAUGCGAACUUUUGGAGCCUAACCUUGUGGGAAAGGAAGCUUCACUUUCUUGCACAAGAUUGUUGGAAUUGAUUCUUUCACAGAAGGAAAAUAAGGAAUACAAAGUUGGAAUUGUUGGAACAGGAGGGGUUGGAAAAACGACCCUGGCUCAAAAAAUAUAUAAUGAUCACAAAAUAAAAGGAAACUUUAGCAAACGAGCAUGGGUUUGUGUUUCUCAAGUGUAUAAUGAAGUUGCUAUUUUGAAAGAAGUUCUUCGAAACAUAGAGGUAAUUAUAAACAAGAUGAAACUAUUGGAGAACUAAGCAGAAAGAUUUCAAGAGCCCUUGAAGAUAAAAUUUUCUUUCUUGUACUGGAUGAUGUUUGGCAGUAUGAGGUAUGGACCGAUGUACUGAGAACUCCUCUAAACACCGCAGCUAUAGGAAUAGUUCUGGUGACAACUCGGAAUGAUACAGUUGCACGGGCAAUUGGGGUGGACAAGAUGCAUCGAGUGGAAUUGAUGUCAGUAGAUGUAGGAUGGGAGCUGCUUUGGAAGAGUAUGAACAUUAGUAAAGAGAGCGAUGUUCAAAACCUAAGGGGUAUAGGGAUGCAGAUCGUUCAUUUGUGUGGCGGCCUUCCUCUUGCUAUUAAGGUUACUGCUAGUGUUCUAGCAACUAAAGAGAAAUCUGAGAAUGAAUGGAGAAAGGUUUUAAACAGAAGUGCCUGGUCUAUGAGCAAGCUUCCUCUGAGCUUAGGGGUGCUUUGUAUUUGAGUUAUGAUGAGCUACCACGAUGUUUGAAGCAAUGUUUCCUCUAUUGUGCCCUAUACCCUGAGGAUUUUAUCAUGCAUCGUGAUGAUCUUAUAAGGUAUUGGGUUACUGAAGGUUUUGUACAAGAGCAAGAAGAACAGCUUGUAGAGGAUACUGUGAGGAAUGUUACUUCGAAUUGAUAUAUAGGAAUCUCCUUCAACCUGUCCCUAGAUAUUUGAUUAUGCAAGGUGCAAAAUGCAUGAUCUUUUAAGGCAGCUUGCUCAACAUUUAUCACAAGAUGAAUCUUUUUGUGGGGAACCAUGGUCACUGGAGGCUAAAUCAUUGGCUAGACCGUGGCGAGUUUCAAUUGUUACCGAUAAAGAUGUUUUAAUGCCCCCCAAAAUGGACAAGGCGUAUAAUAGAGCACGGACUUUGCUUAUUCGCUUUACUGUCACCAAGAGUCGAAAGCAUAAUAUUUAUAAGAUUCCCAUGUGUUCGAAUACUGGAUUUGACCAAUUCAACUAUACAAAGUAUUCCAGAUUGUAUUGGAAACUUGAUCCAUUUACGGUUGCUUAAUCCUGAUAGAACUGGCAUACCUUAUCUUCCUGAGUCUGUCGGUUCUCUCAUAAACCUUCAGGUAUUGAGCUUGCAGGGGUGUCAUGCUUUGCACAGCCUUCCUACGACAGUCACUCGAUUAUGCAACUUAAGGCGCCUUGGUAUUUUUGGAACACCUAUAAAUAGAGUUCCAAAAGGAAUAGGUGGAUUGAAGUUUCUCAAUGAUUUAGAGGGAUUUAUAGUUGGUGAUGGCAGUGACAAUAGUUCUAGAAUGCAGGAUGGAUGGAACUUGGAAGAGUUGGGUCCUCUGUUGCAGUUGAGGCAACUUGAAGUGAAUAAAUUGGAAAGAGCAGUUCCUUGCACUGCAGGUCCAUUUCUGAUUGACAAAAAGUAUCUCAAAGUUCUAGAACUAUCGUGCACUCAAUGCAUAGACAAACCAUAUGCAGAAAGGGAUAUUAACAAUAUUGAAAAGAUGUUUGAGUGGCUAAUCCCUCCACAUGUCCUGGAAGAUCUAGUUAUUGAAAGAUUUUUUGGUUGGAGGUAUCCCACUUGGCUAAGUACUACCCAUUUGUCUUCACUAAAAUACUUGAACCUCAUACACUGCAAGUCGUGGGUGCAUCUUCCGCCAGUUGGGAAACUACCACACUUGAAGUAUCUGAGAAUUGUUGGAGCAACUACAGUAAACAAGAUUGGACCUGAAUUUGUUGGCUGCUCGAUAGGUAGUCCCGGAUCAGCGGAUGCUGUGGCUUUCCCCAACCUUGAACAUUUGAUCAUCGAUGAUAUGCCGAACUUGGAGGAGUGGUCAAUUGUUGAAGAAGAUGCUGCAUCAUGGCAAAACGGGAAAGCCUUGGUUCCAAUGUUGCAGCUGCUGCCUCAGUUGCAGAAAUUGGAUAUUGUGCGCCCAAGCUGAAAGCUAUCCCAAAAGAGCUUGCAUAUGCCACCAGCUUGAAGAGUCUUCAGUUAAGAAAGGCGGCUUGCUUGAAGGAGGUGGAGAACCUCCCUUUUCUGUCUGAUCUCCUUCUGAUCACAGGGUGUGGACGCUUGGAGAGGGUCUUUAAUAUCCCUCAGGUGGCAAAGCUUAGUCUAAGGCGUUGUAAAAAUUUAAGGUGUGUUGGCAAGUUGAGCAGUCUGAAGCAGCUCUCACUGGGAGUUAGGAUGCAAAAGAUUUCUUCCCAGUGGGUUCCUGAGCUUCGACAGCAAUGCUGGCAGCUUCACGGUGAGGACCUGGAUGUCCUUAUAUGGUGAUGAUAUAAUACCAGCUAUAUUCUUAUCAAGGUAUAUAAACACUGAUAGUACAUUUCGUUUUACAUCUUAAUCAUCCGGCCUGAUAUUUUUACCACUGUAUGAUGGCCUUGUAUUAGUUUGGAUAAUGAGAAAAUACAGUGUAUUUCACUGCCAGAUUGGUUUGAUGAAUAACUUGAGUUCGCUCAAACAUUUUCUGAAGCCUUAUCCAUUGCAACAUACAAUUCUUUGAAACUUUCUGACCCCUAUGUUUUUAUGUGCUUCCGGCUGAGCUACAGCCUAUACGUCUCAUUACAAAGCUUAUUAACCCACUCAGUAGUACUAGUCCAUUGGCCUUUGCAUUCUGUUCUUGUUAUUGGCAUUGACUAUGAAUGAUAUAUACUUCUCUUGUGCUUGUUAUUUUGCAGGCUGGGAUAUUGAAGAUUUCACAUCUCCAUAAAAAUGAAAAUCUAGAAGACCCUUGCAGGCUGCAACCAACAUCCAAUCUACAUAUCGAUGCAUGCUGCAGUUUUUGCUGCGAGGUUUGGCUGAUCUGGGUCAGGUCACCCACUCACCCUCCAUGGCCACAUAGGCCGAGAACGGAUGGAUCAUUGGCCUGGAACGAUGGAACCAGGGCAUGAAGAUGGCGGCGCUUCGUCAGUAGUGUAUGCUGCUGCUCUGCUCUGCCAUCGAGCUGAUGCCAUAGAUUAGGACGGUGUUGGUUGCAGUUUCCAUGCAGUUAGCUGUAUAAGGUCAAAAUGCUGUUAUUCUCGAAAGAUGCAGCAGCAGCAGCAGCAGCAGCAGCAGCAGGAGAUGACAGAGCAGAGCAGCAGAUGCUGGCAGCAGCAGGAGAUGCAGGUUCCGUCAUAUCUAAGCAGAUGCUCACAAGAUGUUCUCGAAACACAUGUGCAUUCUUUGCAGAAAUACUUGGCCGCAACAGGCACGACCAAGGUCAGGAACAAGCUCCAUUUUGAGCAAUCCUGAGUUCCUGACUUGGGAACGAAGUGGCGAACACCGGCUGAAAGAUGUACACUUGCUAGCUGGCUCAGAUGUUCAACACUGUACUGAAAUUGUCAUUUGUAGUCAACCUGCAGGGACUGGGAGAUGUGUGCUUCGUAUUCUUGUUGCUGUCAGAUUUAUGAUGAUUUCAGGCUGUCCUAUCUUCCUCCGGUUUUUUUCGAGACUGUCCUGUUUGUUGCCAUAUAUACUGUAUAUUGUUGUACAUACAGAGAAUUCACGUUAAAUCAUUCGGCCCAGAAAGGCCCAUGAGGCCUAUUAUAUGUACUGUAGGCCCAUCUGCUGGCGCAAGGUCUCUCUUCCCAUUUCCAUGGCCGCCUCCUUGCCGUCGCUGGGCGACCUGCCGCUCCCCCUCUGUGGCCGGAGUCCGGAGAGACACCGCUCGGUGGAAGACUGGAAGGAGACCACCGGGGCUUCGGGGGCGAGAAGGUACCAUUCUCUUGUCCCUUUGCACUAGCCUUGCAACUCCGUGCUGAUCUAGUCCUAAAUUUUGCUUCUUUCUUUGCUAGCUCUCAGAUUUUAUUUAUGCAAAUGCGCAGUUCACGUGGGUGUGUACUUCAUGCCUAGUGGCAGGUCUGGAACUCUUUUUUUUUUUGAAACACGUAGGAGAGCUGCGUAUCAUUGUAUUAAUAGAAGAAGAAAGAAUCUGUAAUCUUAAACUAAGGCUAUAUCUGUGCAAACCAAGAUCGACUUGAUUAGAAUCUACUCCUCAACACGAUUUUCCAAAGCCCAAGGUUUAUCUAAUAUUAAGGUCGUUCUGAUAUCAUCUUUAUUCCGUCCAUAUUGGUACCAUACGAACAAGUGGCCUUUGUUUAUUGUGCCAUGGCAAGAUUCGUCGAUUACCGCCUGCCUGGAUGGAUUUUAGUUUCAUCACAGACGUGGUCCAGCAGCCCUGGAUGCUUCUGCAUAAUGCAACUUCCAUAGAGAAUUAGAAUAAAACCAAGACGAAGACGAAGCUUUCAGCAGGGAGUUCUCUUCAGUUUCCAGCUGCUCCUCUGCUGUUGCAUAUAGCAUCCUUUAGCUUCGAUCUUCUCUGCUCAUGGUAUGUCGCUGGCUGUGGAGAGCACCAUGUCCAUUGAGUACUUUCACCAGGAGAGCGGUCUGAUGUCUGCCUUAUUCUUCUCACAAAACGUGUCUUAUUUGCAGCUAUUGAUCACAUAGAGAGAGAGAAGAAACUUGAUGCUUGGAACUUGUCACACCCUGAAAUUUUUUAGAUUUCAGGUUGUCAUUAAAAAGAAUAAUUAAACAAUAAUUUUCUCAUAAUUUUAAAAUUCUUCCAACAUUUAUUUUCUUGAUAGGAAAUGUAGUAUAGGAAAAAUAAUUCAUUAUUUUUCUAAAUUAAAUAGUGUUGUUCUGUGGGUGUUGCAUUCAUGCCGAUGCAUGUUAGUGUUUAUUGAGUGCAAAUUAUUUAAAAUGCAUUUAGACGAUGACUAGAUUCUUCUGAGAAUUUUUCAACUUUUCUGGAAUUUAUUGUUGUGUUCCUAGAGCUUAAUUUAAUUUUUUUGGAAGGCUCUAGAACCCUUUCCAUGAUCUUCAAGUAUUUUAUUUGGACUCCUCGUGUCCCAAAAUGUCUUUAAGAGAUUUCCUGGAAUUUUAGGGAUUUUCUGGAUAUUUUUGGUGCUUUAAAAAUAUUUUUUAGAAUUUUUUGGAUUUGUUUUCACAUUGAAAAGUAAUUUUGGAAAAUGAUAAAUCUAAACCUACCCCUUUUUGGGCCAAGCCCGCACUUUUUAGUAAGUUUCAAAUGGUUAAAUUGGAAAGGCAGCUACUUUUAGUACAAAUUCAAUGCUAAGUUGACAAAAUGUAUCUUAAAGAAUUACAAGUACAUUGCACCGAAUCGUUUAGACGGUUCUUAUUCUAAAGAUGAUGAAAUUAACAUCGAGAGGACAUUUGAGCAGCUAAUCCCAGCACACAACCUGGAAUAUCUAACUAUUUUGAGAUUCUUUGGUUGCAAUUAUCCGACAUGGUUAGGUGCUACUACCCAUUUGUCUUCAAUGAAGUACUUGCAGCUCAUGCAUUGCAAAUCAUGCGUGCAUCUUCCACCAAUUGGUCAUCUCCCCAACUUGAAAUUUCUAAAAAUUCAGGGAGCAACUGCAGUUACCAAGAUUGGACCCGAACUUGUCGGCUGUGCGACGGGUAGUAAUACCGGGUCUUCAGUAGCUUUCCCCAAGCUUGAAGUGUUGGUCAUCGUGGAUAUGCCCAACUGGGAGGAGUGGACCUUUAUUGUCGAAGAAGAAGCAAUAGGUAAAGUAGGUGAGCAAGAGGGAGAAGAUGGUGCUUUUGUGAGGCAAGAAGGGGAAAUCACACCUCCAAGGACACAGCUCCUGCCACGUUUGAAAGAGUUGCAACUUGAUCGCUGCCCCAAACUGAGAGCUCUCCCAUGGCAGCUUGGGAAGGAGGCUACAAGCUUGACAGAGCUCCAAUUAAGAGAUGUGAGCAGCCUUUAAGGUGGUGGAGAACUUUCCUUUCCUCUCAAAGAUCCUUGUAAUCGUAAGUUGCGAAAGCCUAGAGAGUGUCUUGAACCUUCCCCAAGCGAGAGAUCUGCGGGUAGCUGUCCAAACUUAUGACAUGUCGUGGAAUUGGGUAAUUUGGAGCAUCUGUGGCUGGACGUGGGUAUGCAGGACAUCUCCUCGCUGUGGGUGCCCGAGCUUAAACAACAGCGCCAACAACUCCAUGGGGAAGACCUAGACAUCUACACUUAUGCACUCGACCUCGAGGUUGAGAGACGCAUGGUUAGGUGGCAG
rnacentral:lncRNA from 1 species